rnacentral:rRNA from 1 species
UAGGGAAUUUUGCGCAAUGGGGGAAACCCUGACGCAGCAACACCGCGUGAAUGUUAAGCCCUUCGGGGUGUAAAGUUCUGUCAAUAGGGACGAAUUUUGACUGUACCUAUAAAGGAAGCACCGGCUAACUCCGUGCCAGCAGCCGCGGUAAUACGGGGGGUGCAAGCGUUGUCCGGAAUCAUUGGGCGUAAAGCGUUCGUAGGCGGUAUGUCAAGUCUGAUGUUAAAGCCCGGGGCUCAACUCCGGUUCGGCAUUGGAUACUGGCAAACUAGAAUGUGGUAGAGGUAAAGGGAAUUCCUGGUG